rnacentral:rRNA from 1 species
AUUGAACGCUGGCGGCAGGCCUAACACAUGCAAGUCGAACGAGUGGCGGACGGGUGAGUAAUGUCUGGGAAACUGCCUGAUGGAGGGGGAUAACUACUGGAAACGGUAGCUAAUACCGCAUACCAUCGGAUGUGCCCAGAUGGGAUUAGCUAGUAGGUGGGGUAACGGCUAACCUAGGCGACGAUCCCUAGCUGGUCUGAGAGGAUGACCAGCCAGACUGGAACUGAGACACGGUCCAGACGCCUACGGGAGGCAGCAGUUGCGAAUAUUGCACAAGGGGCGCAAGCCUGAUGCAGCCAUGCCGAGUGUAUGAAGAAGGCCUUCGGGUUGUAAAGUACUUGCAGCGGGGAGGCGUUACCCGCAGAAGAAGCACCGGCUAACUCCGUGCCAGCAGCGGCGGUAAUAC